UACGGGGGGAGCAAGCGUUGUUCGGAUUUACUGGGCGUAAAGGGCGCGUAGGCGGUAGCACAAGUCAGUUGUGAAAUCUCCGGGCUUAACUCGGAAAGGUCAACUGAUACUGUGCGACUAGAGUGCAGAAGGGGCAACUGGAAUUCUCGGUGUAGCGGUGAAAUGCGUAGAUAUCGAGAGGAACACCUGCGGCGAAGGCGGGUUGCUGGGCCGACACUGACGCUGAUGCGCGAAAGCCAGGGGAGCGAACAGG
rnacentral:rRNA from 1 species